AUACGUAGGGAGCGAGCGUUGUCCGGAAUUACUGGGUGUAAAGGGAGCGUAGGCGGGAGUGCAAGUCAGAUGUGAAAUACAUGGGCUCAACCCAUGGGCUGCAUUUGAAACUGCAUUUCUUGAGUGAAGUAGAGGUAAGCGGAAUUCCUGGUGUAGCGGUGAAAUGCGUAGAUAUCAGGAGGAACACCGGUGGCGAAGGCGGCUUACUGGGCUUUUACUGACGCUGAGGCUCGAAAGCGUGGGGAGCAAACAGGAUUAGAUACCCUGCUAGCCCACGCUGUAAACGAUGAUUACUAGGUGUGGGGGGACUGACCCCUUCCGUGCCGCAGUUAACACAAUAAGUAAUCCACCUGGGGAGUACGGUCGCAAGACUGAAACUUAAAGGAAUCGACGGGG
rnacentral:rRNA from 1 species